rnacentral:rRNA from 1 species
GACGAACGCUGGCGGCGUGCCUAAUACAUGCAAGUCGAACGCAGUGGGGACGGGUGAGUAACACGUGGGUAACCUCCCAUCAGAGGGGAGAACACGUGGAAACAGGUGCUAACCCGAAAUUGAAGGAUGGACCCGCGGUGCAUUAGCUAGUUGGUGGGGUAACGGCUCACCAAGGCAACGAUGCAUAGCCGGUCUGAGAGGGUGAUCAGCCACACUGGGACUGAGACACGGUCCAGACUCCUACGGGAGGCAGCAGUAGGGAAUAUUCGGCAAUGGACGAAAGUCUGACGGAGCAACGCCGCGUGAGUGAAGAAGGUUUUCGGGUCGUAAAGUUCUGUUGGUGGGGAGGCGGUAUCUGACGAGAAAGCCCCGGCUAACUACGUGCCAGCAGCCGCGGUAAUUC